GAUGAACGCUGACAGAAUGCUUAACACAUGCAAGUCUUUGGCGAAGCUGUGCUUGCACAGCCUAGCCAAGGCGGACGGGUGAGUAACGCGUAAGGGACUUGCCCUGCAGUCAGGAUAACAGACGGAAACGACUGAUAAAACCUGAUAAAGUCAGGCGGACCCAUGUCCAGCCUGAUGAAAAGGAAUGCUGCAGGAGAGCCUUGCGUCCUAUUAGCUUGUUGGUGGGGUAACGGCCCACCAAGGCGAUGAUAGGUAGCCGGCCUGAGAGGGUGGACGGCCACAAGGGGACUGAGAUACGGCCCUUACUCCUACGGGAGGCAGCAGUGGGGAAUAUUGGACAAUGGGGGCAACCCUGAUCCAGCAAUUCUGUGUGCACGAUGAAGGUCUUCGGAUUGUAAAGUGCUUUCAGCAGGGAAGAAAAA
rnacentral:rRNA from 1 species